UACGUAGGUGGCAAGCGUUGUCCGGAUUUACUGGGCGUAAAGCGUGCGCAGGCGGUCUUGCAAGACAGAUGUGAAAUCCCCGGGCUCAACCUGGGAACUGCAUUUGUGACUGCAAGGCUGGAGUGCGGCAGAGGGGGAUGGAAUUCCGCGUGUAGCAGUGAAAUGCGUAGAUAUGCGGAGGAACACCGAUGGCGAAGGCAAUCCCCUGGGCCUGCACUGACGCUCAUGCACGAAAGCGUGGGGAGCAAACAGG
rnacentral:rRNA from 1 species